UCUCUCUCUUUUGCAAGCUCCAGGACACUUUGUCUCCAAGAUGUUGAUGGCAGCCACCAAUAUCCACUACUCUUGGAUCAAAGCUCAGAGCAGGAGACAUAAGGUUCCUCGGGCUUCGAUUGAGACACUGUGUCCAUCAAUCCCCACACGCGGCAUCUCCUUGAGACUGUUCCCUGCUCUCCACUGUCACCCGCAGCAGUCAGAGUAGUUUUCUAGGCACCUUGACUCAAGGAAACCGGAAUGGACGGCUCUGGUGCUAAAAGGAAUCUCAGGACUAGCUAAUAUGAAGCAAAGAGAUUUUAAUGAGAUAUUUGAAGCCUGAGGGUUGGGAGAAAGAGAGACACUCAGAGGAUGGGAGACACACCGGAGACCAAGAGUCUGGGACUUUCAAGGAAGAAUAAGACAGAGCAAGCGAGGGCCCAGGCACCUCAUGGGGGGGGUAUCCCAGCCCCUGGUGUUUUUCAAUGGUCAUGUGUAGGAUGUUGUAGGGUUUUGGUUGCUAAGAAACCUAGGUGAGGUCACUGGGUGGUUCCCAAGGCAGCAUCUGACAGGAUUAAGAUUGAUGAGGUAGAAACCAACCCAUAGGGAUACAGGAAGGUAGGCUAUCUUUAACUGUAAACAGCUUCAAGUUCUGUUUGGAGAGUUUCAGGAAAUAUCUACGGGAAGGAAAGAUGCCCACCCAAGGUCAUAUGGGUUCAAACUUUAAACCUGAGUCAUUAUUAUUGGCACAUAAAGGACUAUUUUUACAUUUGCAGGAUGUGUUAACUGUAUCAGAACCUCCAGAGCCAGAGUUAGAGGCAGUUGUAGGCUCUCUGAAGUAAGUCAGACAACCCUUGCCUGACUUAAUGCCUGUCAAAGUGGCUACCCUUGAAAACUCCAGCACCACACUCAUCACAAGGCCGUUCUCGACGUAGCAGCUCUGAGAGAAAAGGUAUCCUGGCAGUCGGGAGCCAAGAAAUACUACCAAGUCACACCACACAACAAACCUCACACAAGAGGUUUAUGGGGAAAGACACCUGAGGGUGCCCACCGCGGCUCUGAGAGAAGCAACAAACAACUAAGCAAGAGGCAGGCUUUAUGGUGAAGCUUGGCUGCCUGCAUCUUGAGGGACUAGAAAUGGCCAUUAUGGCCCUUUAGAGCAGCGGGGGUGGGGUUGGGGAGCUGGGACCAGCCAUUCUAGCCCCAGGGGGGUAGGACCUGGCCACUAGGUGGGCUUAUGGAUUCCAUGGUCCUCAGAUGGUUCUGGGAAUUGAGUCUGGGUGCUCUGGAAAAACCAGCAAGUGUUCAACUGCUGGGCCAUCUCUCCAGGUCUUCACCCUGAAUCUGUGAAGUACUUGCUGCACGCCAGAGCCUGUCCUGAGGCUGCAUGGGCACACAUUUCCCACGCCUGCCUGCUUUGAGAGAUGUGACCUGUGACAGCCUUUCUGUGGCAUUCUUGGGAGAGACUUGCAUUUUCCCAUCUCAGCUACUCAGUGUGUGGAUUUGAAUUAACUGUGUGUUAAGCCUCCCUCUACGCUUUUCAAAUCUGAAAACUGCACCUAGUUCUCUGGCCCUUGUAAAGAUUAAAACAGAAUAUGAGACAGCUCAGAGGUUAAGAAUACUGGCUGCGGGCUGGAGAGAUAGCCCAGCAGUUAAGAGCACUGACUGCUCUUCCAGAGAUCCUGAGUUCAAUUCCCAGCAACCACAUGGUGGCUCAGAACCAUCUGUAAAGAGAUCUGAUGUCCUCUUCUUGUGUGUCUCAAGACAGCAACAGUGUUUUCUACCUCAAACGCCUCAUUUAUGAAGAAAGCAGAGUCAGUUGCUCCCCAGACUGCCCAGGAGACACUGGAUGACGCGUGCCUGGACUCCAGAUGUGAGAGGCUCCGGGAAGAGAUUGUGGUUUGAAGCUCAGGCGAGAAAGCUGACAGGAGAAGGAAGCAGUCUGGACCCUGAGGUGAAGUCAGUGGAAGGCCAGUGAGGGCUUUCAUCUAAUACGGAGCAGCUUGAGGGAAUGAGGGGACAGAGACGGUUGCAGGGAGCGCAAGUUCCUGCCCAGGACCCCAGGAGAAGAGGAGCAGAGGCUCCAGCUGUUACAGCCGGAUUGCUUGAGAACCAAGCCCACGUCAUUCCUGGCGAGGGGCCUACAGAUGCCAGCGCGAGCAUGGGCGAAGACCCAUGAGUAAUCCUUCCCUCUGUCUGCUCCCACACUUACCCUUGCUGGGCGCCAGGGAGCCCAAGCUCCGUGGCCCCAGCUGUGGGGUGGCCACCCCCACAUCAGGCUGUGCUGUGCUGAGGGCUGCCACCACUACUUCCCCCACCCCUGCCAGCCCCUU
rnacentral:lncRNA from 1 species